UGGGUUCUUCUCUCCAACGGCUUUUGUGCCCCUACCUCUCCCCAUGCCUCCCCUCGAAGACAGCGCGGUGCCCCGGACGGGAGCCAUGGGAGCCGUCAGCCACCGCCCCCUCUACACGCACACGCAACGCACGCACGUACACGCAACGCACGCAACGCAACGCGCACGCACACGCAGCGCACGCACGCACGCACGCACGCUGCAGGGAAGCAGGGCCGAGUGCCGCGCCCUCAGCGGCCCUGAGCGCCUCGCCCGGAAUCGGCCGGCGGAAUGGACAAACAGGCUCUCCCGGCCCGGACCACGCAGGACUGUCCUGCCUGGGCUUCCAGUGCGGCCGCCUCUUUCUGGAAGCUUGGGACGCUGGAAUCAGGCCACUUCCUGUCUGUCCUUGGAGGAGACUGGGCUGCACUACAAGAAGCUCCGGGCUCACCCCUGGAUCCGGACCAUCACGUGGCCAGAGAAAUUGGACUGUGGGGACCAGGGUAGAGACCCAGCCAGACCUGAGUCCUGGAGCUUCAAGGGGGACGUGGAGACCUGGGUACAGACCCGGCCUGGCCUCAGUACUGGAAAACUCCGUGCCUGCAUCUGAAGGCCAUACCACGCAGCAUGCGGGAUCCUAGUUCCUGGACCACGGAUUGGACCAGCACCCUCUGCAGUGGAAUUGCGAAUUUCUAACCACUGGGCUGCCAGGGAAGUCCCUUUCCUUUAUUAUAAAAAGGUGAUCUUCUGCUGUUUUAUACGAAGUCUUUUAAGCUUCUCUUCUCCACGCUUCACACCUAGAGGACUGCUACGAAUAUUAGGUUGUAUUUCAUACUGUGGACACUAUUCCAGCGGAUUGCAGCUCCUUGAGAAAAAUUCGUCAUUCUGACUAAAUGUGCGGAGCUUGUCAUAUUUAGCAAGAGGACCCAGACCAAGAGCUUUGGGGACACUGAAGAAGAAAAGCAAAAUAACGCUAAAACUCGUGAGACGCCGCCGUGCUCCCGAUCAGCAGCAGCAUUCCCCGAAUUCCAGGCUGGGACAGAGAGCUUCCCAGCAAGGGGGCGUGGCCUCCGGCGGGAUGCACCAAAGAGCAUUCUGUCCUAGCCGCCACCAAGGGUCCGUUUACGUCCUGGAGGGACGGCUCUUACUCAGCUCUGCAGGUGUGUGCGGAGGACUCACGGCGCACCCAGCAGUUUCUCGUUGUUCGUCUGCAUGUGGCAGCCAGAAGCAGUGCUUGCACGAUGCGAACCUGGACAAUUCACCAGACCUUUAGAAAGCCGCCGUCAUAUUUGUGGGCCACGGCACACUCCUGUUUUUCUCUGAAAAAAAAAAAUUGGGUCUGUCUUGCAUUGGGUCACCAGAAGGUGGCUCAGUGGACAACAGAAUCAUUUUCAUUAGCUUGAUUUUAAACUGAUUCAACUUUUGUUGUAAGUCUUCACCAAAAAUAAAAGCCAUACAUACUACCCACUAUUACAUUUGCUAUAAAAAUGUUGCUGUGGACUUCCACACCAGAAACUUCUUCCAGAAUUUUGGUUUUCCUGGGAAAUCUGUGUUUCUCACUUUCUGUGAAGGAGAAACGUAUAACUGACUGCUUCCAUUCAGGCUCAGGCUAACAGGAAGCACAGCAGGAAAGUGAGAAGUCAUUGAAUUCCUCAAAUUCUUCUCUUCUUUGAGCCUGACUUUCUAGCAAUUUUUAUAUUUUAAUACAGUUUAAUAUGGGCUUCCCUGGUGGCGCAGUGGUUGAGAGUCCGCCUGCCGAGGCGAGAGACACGGGUUCGUGCCCCGGUCCGGGAAGAUCCCACAUGCCGCGGAGUGGCUGAGCCUGUGAGCCAUGGCUGCUGGGCCUGCGCGUCCGGAGCCUGUGCUCCGCAGCGGGAGAGGCCAAAACGGUGAGAGGCCCGCGUACCGCAAAAAAAAAAAAAAAAAAAAAAAAAAUGUUGGAAACAGCCUAAAUUGAUUUUGGGCAGGGAGGAGUCUUGGUUAUAGGUCAAUAUAAAAAAUGCAGGUAAAAGGAUGAGGUCAUCCUAUAUUUUAUUGACCUGGACAAGCUUCCAAGAUAUACUUUUGUGUUAAAAACGCAAGUUACGUGUUCCAGUUCUGUGAAAAAAUGCCAUUGGUAUUUUGAUAGGGAUCGCUUUGAAUCUGAAGAUUGCCUUGGGUAGUGUGGACAUUUUAACAAUAUUAAUUCUUCCAGUCUGUGAACGCAGUAUAUCUUUCCAUCUGUUUGUGUCAUCUUCAAUUUCUUUCAUCAGUGUCUUACAGUUUUUGGAGUACAGGUCUUUUACCUCAUUAGUUAGAUCCAUUCCUAGGUAUUUUAUUUUAUUUUUUUGGAUGCAAUUGUAAAUGGCAUUGUUUUCUUAAUUUCUCUUUCUGAUAGUUUGUUGUUAGCGUAUAGAAACUCAACAGAUUUCUGUAUACUAAUUUCACAUCCUGCAACUUUACUGAAUUCAUUGAUAUUGAUACGUGUUACACAUUAAAGUUGUUGAGAGAGGAAACCCUAAGAGUUCUCAUCGCGUG